CCUCAGACUUGCGCAGUGCCGCCGAUAGGGGUGGGACUAGCGGCUAGCUCAGGCCUGGCGGUUGGGGAGGCGGUUUAGAACACAUGCGGAAGCUCCUAAGCCGGUAUUUGAAACGGAAACUCAUCGGUUAAAAUAGAAAUACCGGUACCUGGAAACCUGGAACUUGUCUUUUCGAAGCCACCUUUCCCGUCAUCACCUCUGCCUCUCCGGGUUCCCAUAAUCGUCCUUAUGGACCUUUGGUCGUGUGGUUGCCUGCAGAACGCCUCCUGGACCCCCGGCUGGUUGAACUCCCAAUACCUUGUCAGGCCUCUUAGAGGGACUGUCCAGUGCAGUACUGUGAAAAAAACCAUCACAGUGGAGACGCCCAUUGCUGCACACACAUAGGCACCUCCGGCGCGCAGUUUUUCUGGUUAGCUCCAAUUACGAGGUCACGACACACAUCUCCAGCUAAUUUAUGCACAGCUCCAAUUCUGUGCAGGGAGGAUGCAAAACGGCAAACUAUCCAUGGUAGGACUUUCUGGAGCAUCAAUUCUACAAGAUUUGGAAGAAAUGAAGUCAUUUCCAAGGCAAAAGAGGAGAAACACUACUUGGGGAGCACUGUUAUGUGCCAGGACUAUGAUCAUCAAGAAGGCGGAGGCCACAGGAUUGCACCUCAACCCCGGGGACCUGCCAAAGAACUGCCACCAAAUUUUCAAUCGAGGACCCUUGCAGAACUCUUCAGUGACCUCACCGAGCGGUGUGCCUCUGGAAAAAACUCAACACUCACCCUAAAUGAGAUGUCUCUUCCCCAUGCCUGGGAGGAUAGGGGAUAGAUCCUCUAGGGGCGGAUGCCUGGGCACAGAUGUGACCCAGCAGCUCUGGAGCGAGUGGGUGUACUCAGGCGAACAGAGAGAGAGCAUGAACGGGGGAGGGUCAGAGAGAGAGAGGGAGACACAGAAUCUGAAACAGGCUCCAGGUUCUGAGCUGUCAGCACAGAGCCCGACGCGGGGCUUGAACUCACGAACCGCGAGAUCGUGACCUGAGCCGACGUCAGACGCUUAACUGACUGAGCCACCCAGACACCCCAGUAAGUGAAUUUUAAAUAUACAGGAGUUCAUCCGCAAGACCUCAGUCUACAUUUGUUCUCUAGCUAGUAAGAUUUUGACAGGAGGCAGGAGAAGAGCGGGAAGGCCACCCUGCUGGGCACCACCGUAGAUGCGUUUAGAUCUGGAUCAGGCUCCCACACCAGGGGGCCCACCUGUGUGCUAACCGGCCUACAAGGCACUGUCCCUCGGGCUGAACAGGGCUCCAUACAACCUCAAUGUUGCCAGCACUCUGGACAACUUCAUUUUUCUUUCAUAUUUUUGAGGUAGAACCUCAAAAUACCGUGUCCUGCAUAUGCAGAGGACUUAGGGGCCCGCAAACAAGUGAAUUCACAAGAAGCUCCGAAGAUUACCACACAAGUGUUUGGUGUCGUCUUGUGUAUUACUGAAUUGUCCAUUAAUCAAGAGACUCGGUGUAACAACCUCAACAGGAUGUCAAAAGCAGGACUGCAGAAGCCCCAGGCUUGAGCCAAGGGAGGCCGUAGACCCAAGAUUCAAAGCACAUGCUCCGGACACCAGCUCUGCGAUUGUACAAACUGCUUAACCCCAUUCAACAUUCAUUUCCUAGUCUGAAGCAUCUCCCAUCCCUGAUAAACACAGAAGACGAGAGAAAAGAGUAGGAGGGAAGAAGUACCCCAGGAUGACAGUCCAGUCUCUGAAGAUUCACCCAGGUUGGGACAGAGGACCUGCCCGAAGCCAGGACGAGCCUCUCCUCUUAUCUCCCCGGUGGCACCCAGCCAUCCUUUAAGCUCACCAUUAUUUUUUGAUUCAGUGCUUUUGAAUGCUGUGGAAGCACAGGUACUCCCUUGAUUUGAAUCCCAUGCAGACCACCUUGGCAGUCUGCACCUGCCAUCCUUCCCUGCCUGUGGUCCUCGGUGUCCCCACGUACAAGCCGUAAGCUCCUUGCACCACUCCCAUCUCCACGGCUGUCGGUGUCAGCCGUGGCCCACCUCCCACACCUGCUGCUGGGCUCUGUGGAGCUCAGGAUCUUCUUGCUGCCCAUAUAAAAACAGUCUUUGGUUUUGUCCCUUCUUUGGCUAUCCACCAUGUGAGCUUUCAUUGGCUUCAUUGUGGUUUAAGGGCCACAUCGGUUCUUUCCAGGUAGCCUGAAACACGGUAUCUGCCUGAGUAAGAAGUUGAAGAAGCUCCCAGCAGCCCAGUCAGCCGUGGGGGUUGCCAGAGGGAGAGGCUGGGGUCCUAUCACCGGGCCACCCAGCAUGGAGGGAGUUGCCAGUUGUAGGACAAACCCUGGGGGCAGCUGGUUCCGUGUGGGGCAUCACCACUGCUGCUGAUGCUGUGGGUGGAGGGGAGGCCCCAGGGUCACACUAGGGACUGUGCUGGGGAAAGGGAUGGUCCUUGUGUCUUGGUGCGGGACUGGCAGGCACUUUGGAUGGGCUGCUGGCCUUCCACUGACUCCCGGUGCUCCCCAGUCCGCUGACUUUCUGAGUUACAGAACACAGCAGAGGUGGGCAGGCCCACCGAAACCAGGCUCCUCCGGGUUGGCAGAGACCCUGGACUGAAGCCUGUGGGAGCGGGAAGGACAGCAACUAUUGGCAGGAUCAGCUGAAGGCAGAGGCUUCGCAGCAAUGGUCCACCCUCCACCUUGGGGCUCUUGCAGCCUAGGAUCAGGUAGUUGGCCAUCACUUCCUCUUAAUUCUGGCCCAUCAGCAGGUCCUGCAUCUGGUCCCACUCAUAGCCCACAGAUAAUGUCACCUCAGUUCUGCCAGGGAUCCUGGUAGUCAGGGAGUGGCUCGCUGUAAGGCUUUAGUAGUUCUGCUUCACGGGCCAUGGUCAUCCAUGGGUCCUUCAUGGUUUCCUCUAAAGUGCUUCUCUCACUGGGACUGAGGGGCAGGAAUCUCUCUAGUAGGUCUCCCACGCUCCACAGACGUGGAAAGGGGAACGUGGCAUAUCCUGCUCAGCACCCACUCCCACAGCUCCCUGAAGUCCUGCCAAGGCAGGGACCUGCUGGUCACUGGACAGUCAUUGUAUAGAGGAUGGCUCCAGGCUCCACCCAUCUCCUACGAGACUGUUGUACUCUUGGUGUAAGGGGGACUACCACAGAAGGGAGUCAGCUUAUGGCCGGCGGUGAACUCAUUGCUGAAUCCAGAGUAUGCAACCUUGAUGUUCGGGUCAGAUUCCAAAAGCAGGCUCUCUGGCUUUAGGUCCCUGUGGAUGACACCUUCCUGGUGGUGGUACUACACAGUGGACGCUAUCUGGCAGAAUCUGCCUCGGGGCUCCCCCUUUCUCAUGCAGGCAUGGCGCAUUCAAACACCUGUCCUUCGCUAGUGGACUCCGUGACCGUGACCGGGUCGCCUGCUUCCAUGGUGCCAGCGACCUCAAGUAGUUUCAUGACUCAGGGGUUGUGAUUCAGGGCCUUCAUGCUCUGGACUUCAAGGAAUAGUCUCUGGAGGCUGGAGGAGCCCUGCUGACUCUUGUUAAUGACCUUCAUGGACGCCUCUGUCCCACUCGGGCUGUGCCAGACCAACCCCACCUGGGCAAAGCUGCCCUGGCCAACAGUCCUGAGGAGCCGGUGGUGGUUACUGUGGCUCUCCCGGUCACAGGAUGGCCACAAGGCCCCGCAGCUCAGUGACUCACUGCUAGGAAUGCUAACUAAAAGUGCCCACUAACAGUACUAACAAACUAAAUAAAGAUGGGAAAGAAAAGAAAAAAAUGAGAAAAGAGAGGGAAAAAGCAAAACUGUGGCCAAAAGUCCCUCAGGUCCCCAGACACCAGCUUCCUGGCCUAAAAAAACCAAAACAUGUAGGCCUGGCCAAGGGCUAAUACAGAGAGGUGCUUAGGAUUUUCUCUCGAUGGCUCUUCUUGAGAUCAGUGCAAGAAAUGUACCUGUAAGGCUGGGGAUAAUUCACAGUGGUUUUCCCACUUGGUUCUCAGGAACCUUUACUCUUAAAAGCGCUGGGGAGGGAUGCCCCCAGAGGCUUUUUUGUUUACGUGUCUUAUAGUGAUUGAUACAUACCUUACUAGAAAUUAAAACCUGAAGGAUGCUUCAGUAGCCUUUUCAUGUCUAGUUUGGGAAUCUGUAAUAAUUUUUGAUGUUUAAAGAAAGCCAUGAUAUCUAUACUUAGAAUAAUUCAAUUCCUUUUUCUUUAAACUCUGGAUGAUCGGUCUCAAAAUGAUACCACAAUUUAACUGGCUUCACAAUAGCCAAUGACAAAGACUCUCCCUGACUAAACUUGAGUCGUUCUCCUCUAGGUCUGGACCUUGCAGCCUGCCCUUGUCUGGCCUGCAUCACCCAGUUGUAGCAAGAACCUUGCCAAGUCAGUUUAAAGAGAACUCCCCACCCUCAAUAGCUCAUAACAUUCUUCACACACACACCUCACCUUUGGUGUCUGUGAAAUAAUAGAAAAUAUAUAUUGGUUUCUGUCCCUGGUUCUUGGCACAGGCUCCUGAAAGCCUUCUAAUUUCCUAAGUGUUAAGACACUAGGAGCAUCUCGUUUUCUAAUAUUUGGUCUUUAACCCCAGUUCCUGAUUCAGGGCUCCUAAAUUCCUUGGAAUAUCCUGGGUGGUAGGAAUGUCUUGUUCUAAUGAGGCAACUCUGGAUGGGCUCCUGGAUGACUCCUGGAGGGGAGUCUUUCUGACUGUUAGCAAAAGGCCAAGCCAUGAUUAGAAGCUUGGAAUUUUCAGCUCCAUACCCCCUCCCCAAUCCUCCAGAAAGGGGAAAGGGGCUGGAAGUGGAGUUAAUGAUCUGUCAUGCCUACGUGAGGAAGCCUCCAUAAAAAUCCCAACAGUAUGGGGUUCAGAGAGUUUCCAUAUGGGUGAACACAUCCACACUGGGAGCGUGAGGUACCCCAACUCCAUGGGGACAGAAGUUCCUGUGCUCGGGACCCUCCCAGACCUCACUCCAUGUAUCUCUUCAUCUAACUGAUCAUGUAUCCUUUAUCACAUCCUUUAAUAAAUGUAAGCGGAAGUGACUGGGUUUUCCUUUGUAUGGCAUCUGACCACCCUGGCCUGCCCACAGCAAGAAUCCUGUUAGAUCUGUUUAACUAGAAUCCUGCCAUCCCUGAGGUUUCCUUAGUAGUUUUCCAUCUACUGACCCCAACCCUGCUCCUUGGCUAUAAACCCCCACUUUGUGCUCUACUGGGGAUGGGUUCCAGUUCUAUACUGAGGCCUCUUUUUCCCCCUAUUGCGGUAAUUCCUGAAUAAAACUUGCUUUUACUGCUUUAACUACUACUGUCCCGCUCUGGGUUUGUUUGUUUUUUGUUUGUUUUUCUUAACACAGUAGGGAAAUAUUCUGUUGCAUAAGACACAACAAGGUACAUUAUUGACUUCUUUUCUAAGAGAGGAAGAGUACACACACAAGCAGAAAAGGGGCAGAGAGAGAAUCCCAAACAGUCUCUAUGCCAUGAGUACAGAACUGACGCGGGAAGCUUGAUCUCAUGAACCCUGAGAUCAUGACCUGAGCCGAGUUCAAGCUGCUUAACUGACUGAGCCACCCAGGCUCCCCUGUUAUUAACUUCUACAACGCUGAAGGGAAGUUAGCUUUCAUCAUAUUUUUAUUUCUUAGUUACAAAUUUUGCCCAGAGUCUGGAGUAGAUUUCUCCCUUCCAUAAGCCAGAGAACUUGCUCUGUCCAUGGCAGUAUCCUUAAAUGUAAAUAUUGAGGGGAGCCUGGGUGGCUCGGUCAGUUAAGCAUCUGACUUUGGCUCAGGCCAUGAUCUCUCAGUUCAUGGGAUCAAGCCCUGCUUUGGGCCCUGCGCUGACCCCCAGGAGCUUGCUUGGGAUUUUCCCUCUCCCUCUCUCUCUCUGCGCCCCGCCCCCCACUCAGGCUCUCUCUCAAAAUAAAUUAACUUUUCAAAAAUGUAAAAUAAAAUAUUAUUUGAAAGACAGAGCGCAGAGGAAUCAUUGAAAAUAUUGACGUGAACAAGUUAUUAAUUUAAUAUGUUCAUUGAAAACUAUUUAAAAAUCUAUGACUCAAGGAACUUCAGUUAGGUAGAAUGAAUCAAUAUUGUUAACCUUUAUGGGUGUUUGUCAGUAAAUAUUAACUGAUCCUCCCAAUGGGCCAGGCAUUGUGCUAAGUAUCAGAACACAGAAGCAUGGAGUCUAUCAAAUGUGACACGGUACUGUGUAUUAACUUAAGAAAUA